rnacentral:rRNA from 1 species
GACGAACGCUGGCGGCGUGCUUAACACAUGCAAGUCGAACGGAAAGGCCCUGCUUUUGUGGGGUGCUCGAGUGGCAAACGGGGGAGUAAAACGGGAGUAACCUGCCCUUGACUUUGGGAUAACUUCAGGAAACUGGGGCUAAUACCGGAUAGGAGCUCCUGCUGCAUGGGGGGGGUUGGAAAGUUUCGGCGGUUGGGGAUGGACUCGCGGCUUAUCAGCUUGUUGGUGGGGUAGUGGCUUACCAAGGCUUUGACGGGUAGCCGGCCUGAGAGGGUGACCGGCCACAUUGGGACUGAGAUACGGCCCAGACUCCUACGGGAGGCAGCAGUGGGGAAUAUUGCACAAUGGGCGGAAGCCUGAUGCAGCAACGCCGCGUGCGGGAUGACGGCCUUCGGGUUGUAAACCGCUUUCGCCUGUGACGAAGCGUGAGUGACGGUAAUGGGUAAAGAAGCACCGGCUAACUACGUG